CAGUUAAACUUUAAUUUCAGAUAAACAAUUUUAGUAUAACUGUGUCCCAUGCAAUACUUGGGACAUAUUUAUGCUAAAAAUUGUUUGUUGUGUUUCUGAAACUCAAAUCUAACUGGACAUCCUAGUUUUUU
rnacentral:miRNA from 1 species